GGGAAUAAUGAUCUGCCAAUAUCUGAUAGUAAUCCCAGCUCGACCAACUUCCAAACACGUCUCACUUCCCUAUUAAUGUGACAGAGUGAUAGACUGAAAUCGAAUCACCGACAUCUUCGAACCUGCCUUAAAGAUUCUGUACUUAUAUGCAGAGAGGAUAAGCACUACAUCUUCCUUCAUCAACAGAAUCUUCCCUGUAGUUUGUCCGCCAAACAAAGACAGCACGAGCUGAAAUGAGUGAACUGUUGACUAGCUUGUUGUCAAAGACGGAUACAUUAACUGCCACCGUACCAGUGACUGUUCCAGGAAUGAAGGAAAUGAUGAUUCUCGGUCAUGUAUAGAGCUGAAAGGAUUCUGGACUUCUCAAGGACAAGAUGAUCCUCACCUCCUCAGGUUAUACAAUUCUUCUAUUUACAUAAUUUGGCAUAUAGUGUAGAUGCUACUACAUUGAAACUUGAAGCAUUAAGAAUGGCAUUGGAGUUUAUGGGAUGCUAAUUUGAUACCGAGGUUGGAGUAGCUUAGUCAGGCAGCUGAGCAUCUUAUCUAAUUAUGUAUAUAUUGUAGAUGAGAAUCGCACCAGGCUACUUGUACUGCUCAUAUUGAAGCUUGAUGCAUUCAGAAUGGCAUCAGACUAUCAGAGUUUGAAAAUCUUUUGGUUAAUCACAUGGGCCGAUGAUGGAGCUGAGUCAAGAGCAUCUCUUCCAAGCGUCUGGACUUUAUUAGAGUUAUUGGGAAGGUAUGCAAGAGGAUGGGGCAAAUGAGCAUGCAUCCAAUACUUGAUCGGAAGUCAAACUGCUAUUCGUCAAGUUACCCAACUCUGAAAUUCACCCUCUCAGUCUACUUCACAAGUUUCCUGAACCAGCUCUGAGUAGAGAGGGUCUUGGGGAAGGAUGGAAAGGGUUUGUGUACUCUUUGCAAGAGGUUUAUGACAAGAAUGGUGCUUUGGAGAAGAUUCGGAGCUUGAAUGGUCACGAUGAUGGCAACUCGAUUUACGAAUCUGUUGUGUUGUUCCACAGCAGAGGUGAGGAAAGAGACGGAUGCCUAGUCGGAGAGAAGAUUUGCUCAGUUUAGGUAGGCAGUCUGAGUUUGGUAACUAGUUGCAUUAUGACUAGUGAGUAGUUGUAAUCACCUAUUGAUUUACUGUCAUUUUGAUCGACAUUUUAUGUAAUUACUCAGUAUUCAGUAUUCUACUUAUCAGGCUUUUGCAUGAAAUUACGUACUCAU